CCAGACUCCUACGGGAGGCAGCAGUGGGGAAUAUUGGGCAAUGGGCGCAAGCCUGACCCAGCAACGCCGCGUGAAGGAAGAAGGCUUUCGGGUUGUAAACUUCUUUUGUCAGGGACGAAGCAAGUGACGGUACCUGACGAAUAAGCCACGGCUAACUACGUGCCAGCAGCCGCGGUAAUACGUAGGUGGCAAGCGUUAUCCGGAUUUACUGGGUGUAAAGGGCGUGUAGGCGGGACUGCAAGUCAGAUGUGAAAACCACGGGCUCAACCUGUGGCCUGCAUUUGAAACUGUAGUUCUUGAGUACUGGAGAGGCAGACGGAAUUCCUAGUGUAGCGGUGAAAUGCGUAGAUAUUAGGAGGAACACCAGUGGCGAAGGCGGUCUGCUGGACAGUAACUGACGUUGAGGCUCGAAAGCGUGGGGAGCAAACAGGAUUAGAUACCCUGGUAA
rnacentral:rRNA from 1 species